UUCUCGUUGGUGUAUCGGUAACAUAUGAGCUUCUCAUUUGCAACCAUUGACACUUGAAUCGCUCGAGCGCGGGGUUCGAUUCCCCGACGGGAAG